GAUGAACGCUGGCGGCGUGCCUAAUACAUGCAAGUCGAGCGAACAGACGAGGAGCUUACUCCUCGGACGUUAGCGGCGGACGGGUGAGUAACACGUGGAUAACCUACCUAUAAGACUGGGAUAACUUCGGGAAACCGGAGCUAAUACCGGAUAACAUGUUGAACCGCAUGGUGCAACGGUGAAAGACGGUCUUGCUGUCACUUAUAGAUGGAUCCGCGUCGCAUUAGCUAGUUGGUAAGGUAACGGCUUACCAAGGCAACGAUGCGUAGACGACCUGAGAGAGUGAUCGGCCACAUGGGAGGGGAGCCACGGUCAAGAGUCCUACGGGAGGCAGCAGUCGGGAAUCUUACGCAAUGGGCGAAAGCAUGGCGGAGCGACGCCGCGUGAGUGAAGACGGUCUUCGGAUCGUAAUACUGUGUUACUAGGGAAGAACAAAUGUGUAAGUAAAUAUGCCCGUAUUGACGGUAAUUAAUCAGAAAGCAACGGCUAACUACGUG
rnacentral:rRNA from 1 species